rnacentral:rRNA from 1 species
AUUGAACGCUGGCGGCAUGCCUUACACAUGCAAGUCGAACGGCAGCACGGGUGCUUGCACCUGGUGGCGAGUGGCGAACGGGUGAGUAAUACAUCGGAACAUGUCCUGUAGUGGGGGAUAGCCCGGCGAAAGCCGGAUUAAUACCGCAUACGAUCUACGGAUGAAAGCGGGGGACCUUCGGGCCUCGCGCUAUAGGGUUGGCCGAUAGCUGAUUAGCUAGUUGGUGGGGUAAAGGCCUGCCAAGGCGACGAUCAGUAGCUGGUCUGAGAGGACGACCAGCCACACUGGGACUGAGACACGGCCCAGACUCCUACGGGAGGCAGCAGUGGGGAAUUUUGGACAAUGGGCGAAAGCCUGAUCCAGCAAUGCCGCGUGUGUGAAGAAGGCCUUCGGGUUGUAAAGCACUUUUGUCCGGAAAGAAAUCCUUGACUCUAAUACAGUCGGGGGAUGACGGUACCGGAAGAAUAAGCACCGGCUAACUACGUG